AAACUUAUGUUAUUUUGUGCAGUGUCUGUGGCACAACCGACAAAAAUAAAUAAAAACAAAAAAAUUAAAGUUGAUGUCCGCGAUGCGCGCAGCAUCAAAGUUUUUAAAUUUCAUUUGCCGAAUAUUUGGGAAAGGCUGCCAUACAUAAAAGGUAUCGCAAAAGAGAGAGCCAUGAUCGACGUGACACUAUCACUCCCGAGAACCCAGUCGAUCGUUUUCCCUCCCAAAAAACAGAAACCGAAAAUGCAAGGAAAAACAAAAGGCUUCGACGAGCUGGUCAGGCAAAAAAGGCAGAUAAGUUAGCCAAUGGAAUGGCCGCUGAAUUGGCUUGCAAUGUUUCAAUGGCUCAUGUCUGGCCAAAUUCCGGAUCCCCGGAACAAAUAUCUAUAGCGUUGGAUGGACGAAACUAAUCAUGGGUCAAGACCUGUCAUCAUCGGAUCGAGAGAGAGGCCAGCGAGGUAUGCUCCCGGAAGAUGUUACAAGGUUAAAAGUGCCAACGUUUGUGUUAAGAGUAUUUUUGAUUAUAUUUAUUUUUAUAAAAAAAAUAUACUUCCGUUGGUUAUAAUAUAAUAAAUGGAUUUUAAAAUCUCUUGAUUUGAUUAAUUUAAUAAAAUAAACUACGAAUAAUUUCAACAACAUCAUUAUUUGAAGUAAAAAUAUCGAACUCUUAUAUUUACAGUA